GGGGCCGUAGUCUAGCCUGGUAGGAUAGGGCUUAAAGCCCUCUAAAGCGCGGUUCGGGUCCGCGUGAUCCCG
rnacentral:tRNA from 1 species